rnacentral:rRNA from 1 species
AGCAGCCGCGGUAAUUCCAGCUCCAAUAGCGUAUAUUAAAGUUGUUGCAGUUAAAAAGCUCGUAGUUGAAUUUCGAGAUCGGCUUACUGGUCGUGCUAUUGUACGUACUGGUAUAAUCGGUUUCUCCUUUCUGACGAACUAUAAUGCCAUUAAUUUGGUGUUUUAGGGAAUCAGGACUGUUACUUUGAAAAAAUUAGAGUGUUUAAAGCAGGCUCACGCUUGAAUACAUUAGCAUGGAAUAACGGAAUAGGACGUUUGAUUCUAUUUUGUUGGUUUCUAGGAUCGACGUAAUGAUUAAUAGGGAUAGUUGGGGGCAUUAGUAUUCAAUUGUCAGAGGUGAAAUUCUUGGAUUUAUUGAAGACUAACUACUGCGAAAGCAUUUGCCAAGGAUGUUUUCAUUAAUCAAGAACGAAAGUUAGGGGAUCGAAGACGAUCAGAUACCGUCGUAGUCUUAACCAUAAACUAUGCCGACUAGGGAUCGGAUGAUGUUAAUUUUUAAUGACUCAUUCGGCGCCUUACG